ACAAGUCACCAGAGCCCAUAGGCCUACGUGUUCUUUUUCUUUUUCUUUUCCGUUUUCUUUUCUUCUUUCCCCCUUUUAUCAUUGCACUGACUUCUUUCUCAGAAAAGAAGGAAAUAAGAAAUCAAAACUGAAUGAAAUUUUGAACAAUGGAAGCCUACUCUGCACUUGCUCUGUUUGUUUUUCUGAUUAAUGGUGUGGCUGCUGAUGAUGUGAUAUCAAUCUCAGUAAUGCAGGGAAAUGCAGUUGUUAUGUCCUCUGAUGUUACCAAACAACAACGUGAUAAGAUGCUUUGGUAUUUUAAUGACACCCUGAUAGCUCUGAUUAAUGGAGAGCCCAGUAAGAGUUGUCUGUAUUAUGGUGAAGGUGAGAUCUUCAGAGACAGACUGGAGAUGGACUAUGCAACUGGAUCUCUGACCAUCACAGACAUCAGUCCUGAACACUCUGGACGUUAUGAAGCAAAUUUCAUCCAAAGCAAGAGCACGGGAACCAGCCACAGCUUGAACCGAAACAGCAAGUGUGACGGCACAAAAAUCAUCAAGAAAACGAGCAACAUUGGCGACAGCGUAAAAACAUUCAGUGUUUCUGUCACUGCUUAUCUGUCUGAUCCGCUCAACAUCAAUGAAGAAUUGUUCAAUAUGGAGAAGGAGCAAGAGUCUGAAGAGAAUUCAGUACAGUCUUCAAGACUUGUAGCAGUAAUGUGUGCUGGUGUUGGUGCUGUUGUUCUGCUGCUGGCUGUUGUUGCAGUUGUUGUUGGUGUGAUAUACCAUCGCCGCACGAGCUCUAAUAAAGAAGACAGAAAGAUAAACUCAUCUGAGCAUCUGCUGAAAGUCCCAAUAUGAGAAAGAGAGAGGUCACUUUGUCUAAGGGCAUCUCAACAGGAUCAGCCCAGAUAUUCUUCUUCUUUUUCCCUCAAAUUGUGGCCAAAAAUCAUAAAAUUGGUCCCAGUCUUGCCCCGCUGCUCAGCCCAGACGCACCUCUGUCUGACACUAGGUGGCGCUAUAACAAGCUGAACGCUUUGGGCAUGAUUUCUUUGGAAGUGUGCUGCUGCAACCUCUCUCAUCAAACCCGAUCACCGAAGAUUCAAGACGGAUUUUGCUGUAAAAGCCACACCAUUAGACCCAUCUCGACAGGAUCGCUAAUCAAACUUGAGCCUUUGGUGCUUGUGCGUGUGGCUAUAUUUACAUCUUUAUGCCCUUAUUAGCAGUCAAAGAACAACACAGUGUUUGUGGAAGAGAUUU